rnacentral:rRNA from 1 species
GACGAACGCUGGCGGCGUGCCUAACACAUGCAAGUCGAGCGGAAAUAAUUAAAGUUUACUUUGAUUAUUUUAGCGGCGGACGGGUGAGUAACGCGUGGGCAACCUGCCCUUGAGAGGGGGAUAACACAGAGAAAUUUGUGCUAAUACCGCAUAACAUUUAGACUUCGCCUGGAGGUUAAAUCAAAGGAGUAAUCCGCUCAAGGAUGGGCCCGCGGCGCAUUAGCUAGUUGGUAAGGUAAUGGCUCACCAAGGCGACGAUGCGUAGCCGACCUGAGAGGGUGGUCCGACACAUUGGAACUGAGAUACGGUCCAGACUCCUACGGGAGGCAGCAGUGGGGAAUAUUGCGCAAUGGGGGAAACCCUGACGCAGCAACGCCGCGUGAGCGAUGAAGGCCUUCGGGUUGUAAAGCUCUGUCUUUGGGGACGAUAAUGACGGUACCCAAGGAGGAAGCCACGGCUAACUACGUGCCAGCCGCCGCCGUAAUAC